rnacentral:rRNA from 1 species
GACGAACGCUGGCGGCGUGCUUAACACAUGCAAGUCGAACGGAAAGGCCCUGCUUUUGUGGGGUGCUCGAGUGGCGAACGGGUGAGUAACACGUGAGUAACCUGCCCUUGACUUUGGGAUAACUUCAGGAAACUGGGGCUAAUACAGGAUAGGAGCUCCUGCUGCAUGGUGGGGGUUGGAAAGUUUCGGCGGUUGGGGAUGGACUCGCGGCUUAUCAGCUUGUUGGUGGGGUAGUGGCUUACCAAGGCUUUGACGGGUAGCCGGCCUGAGAGGGUGACCGGCCACAUUGGGACUGAGAGACGGCCCAGACUCCUACGGGAGGCAGCAGUGGGGAAUAUUGCACAAUGGGCGGAAGCCUGAUGCAGCAACGCCGCGUUCGUGAUGACGGCCUUCGGGUUGUAAACCGCUUUCGCCUGUGACGAAGCGUGAGUGACGGUAAUGGGUAAAGAAGCACCGGCUAACUACGUG